rnacentral:rRNA from 1 species
CUCGCCUACAUGAAGCUGGAGUUGCUAGUAAUCGCGAAUCAGCAUGUCGCGGUGAAUACGUUCCCGGGCCUUGUACACACCGCCCGUCACACCAUGAGAGUUGGCAAUACCCAACGUACGUGAUCUAACCCGCAAGGGAGGAAGCGCCCUAAGGUAGGGUCAGCGAUUGGGUGAAGUCGUAACAAGGUACC